UACGUAGGGUGCAAGCGUUGUCCGGAAUUAUUGGGCGUAAAGAGCUCGUAGGCGGUCUGUCGCGUCGGAUGUGAAAAUCCAGGGCUCAACCCUGGACCUGCAUUCGAUACGGGCAGACUAGAGUUCGGCAGGGGAGACUGGAAUUCCUGGUGUAGCGGUGAAAUGCGCAGAUAUCAGGAGGAACACCGAUGGCGAAGGCAGGUCUCUGGGCCAUAACUGACGCUGAGAAGCGAAAGCAUGGGGAGCGAACAGG
rnacentral:rRNA from 1 species